UUUACAACUUCACCAUGACUUUUUUUUAUAACAUAACUAUACUAUGAUUUUUUAUAACAUACCAUAGCAUGACUUUUACAACAUACUAUCUAAUGACUAAUGACUAAUAAUAUCUUAACAUCCUAAUAGAUUCUUUACUUCAUUUAAGUGAUGGAAUGAGCAGGUACAGAAUAUAAACAUGUUUUUAUGUUGUGAUAUAUGUAUUUUUUUGCCUAACUUAUAUUUAACUAUUUAACAAAACAUUUAAGACCAAAUCUUUGUCCCAGAUUUUGAUGCCAGUAGUUAUUACAUCCAUCUGACCUCUUGUCAUCCUCCUGUAGGGCACAUCUACCCACGCCUCUUCCACCCACUUGGCUGUCCUAGAUGACCUUGAUGAGCCAGUCAGAACUCACCAUGGCCAUCCCACCUCCACCAGGAGUAAGGCCAGUAGUGUCCACAGCAAGGCCAGCUACCACGGCAGCCUGCGCCGCACUCGUGACGACAGGAGUGAUACUAUGGUUCACCGAGGUACAGAGGAGUGCAGUUUCCAUGGCAGCAUGCCACGUCUCGACCACCCGCUCUCCGCUCACGGCAGCCUCCAUCAGAUAGACAGCAACUCAAGGCAUGGCAGCCAGCGAGACGAAUCUGAGGCCCCACCUACACUCAUCACCUACGGAACAACAGGAAGUGACAGCCAAGCUGCAGAGAAUGACGGCACCAGCGCCUGAGAAGAGGCGAUUAUUAUAAAGAUGCUGUCGAUGCCUUUUAAAGGAAGAUUUGCCCUGUGCUGAUACACACCCGUCUGUUUAGUGUGUAGGAGUUUCCCUUGAAGGUGGAGAAUGUACCAGUGAGUGCUGUGGUGCUGAUUAUUGCCGUCAGUUCCUUGCUGAUCAUUUGUUAGCAGUGUGGCUAACACAGAUCAGUCACUGAACUUGACUGAUCUUGCAUAGAUUCAGUUUAGUGUCACUGUUAGCUGGACAAGUUUGUUUACGUAACAGUUUGAAUUUACACAGCAGAUGUCCCUUGAAUACUUGUCAGGCUGAGCCAACAACACCUCCAUCAGUGAUGCUGACAUUAUUCAGGGAUCAUUUUGGUUGUACCCAGGUAAACCAGAGCUGGCACUGAAUAGGAAACACUAAAAAAAGUGGGAUGUCAUCAGACUUACAAGAACACUUAGCAUUAUUUCCAAAACAUGAUCUGUCACCAUCUUGCAGGACCUACAUGAAUAUUAUUAAAUAUGUGAACACUGCCGAGUAUUGCUUUUGUAACACUCCUAACUGGUUUGCCUACUCUCACAUAAAAGUUGACUUACUGAAGUCAGUCUGUACUAAGACUUGAUUAUUCCCGACCUGUUUGCUCUGGACUGCAGCUCUUAAUGAACGAUGUUUAUCUUUGUGUGGCUUCAGCUACUGAUACAUAUGGGCUUAAUGUAAAAUCGUGGACCUCUCUGUGGUUUAGUGAAAUAUUUUUAUACUGUGAAAAUUGUCCAUCUGCUGCUGAAAGCUUCAUUACAUGAGUGUGUAUGAGAGAGCAUGAGUGAAUGAGAGAUAGACACCAACUGUCAUAUUUUUUUUCAAAUUUCAAUUCUCGCCUCCAGUGGUGACCGGAGAGAGACUAAUGGAGGGAGCUGACAGAUCUUUGUAACCCAGAAUGUAGAAGGGUUGUUUCAGAGUCAGAAAGACGGUGAUAUAAUACAGACAUGGUCGGGUGAAGUGAGCUGGAAUAAUGUGUGUGCACUUAGACACACACUCACAUUUAUUCCAGCUCAUGCUGCUUUUUGGCCUCCCCAAGUCAUCUUAGCACUGACAUGUCUGCAUUAGCUUGAUAGAGUUAGAAGAGUAGUUGUCCAAAAAAUAAAAGAAGCAGCGUACUGAUCAAAGGUGGCUGAUAUCCAGAGUAUUGUAACCCAAAUUUAGAAAGUCCCCUGGCUGCGAUGACUGGAGUGCAGCUUAAAAAUGAAAUCAACUAUUCUGAAAUCUAUCACAUACACGAGGCUGAAAGGUUGUUUUUGAGAGCUGAGUGCUUUUUUUCUAAUGUAAUUUUCACCACUGUACUUGAUAAUGUACUUUAACUGCUAUUGUACAUGCUCUUUGCUGGUGUUUGUUUGUUUGUUUUGUUGUUCAGACAUAGAACUGAGACUUACCCAAAGAGGUGCAGAUAACUGGCAGUGAUACUGUAGGAAAAAAAAAAGUUUGCUAAUAGCGCAUUGCUACAUUUUCUCUGACAUUAUUUUACGUUUAAGUAAAUGUUACAGGAGGUGUAUAGUGUAAAUGUUUUUCUAUAAUUUGUGUUUUGUUCCCUUGAGACCCAAUUAACCUACCUCACCUGUACCCUCAGCCUUCUCUGUACCUGUGGGCGCACACACACACAUUUACAUUAUUAGGUGCUUUAUGUAAAGCAAAAAAAAAACCUCAUGAACUCAACAUGAAUAUUUCUGAACUUAUGUAAAAUAUAAAAAUCAAACACACUUAAUUGACUCACUCAUGGUUUCUGCCUUCAACACACACACACUCAUCAGUAGGCUAUCUGUCGCUGUCUGUCCGUCCUUCCCACAGCUGGCUUUGUGUUUUUCCAGUCUACCUCUUCAGUUCAACUCUCUGGCCUUUUACUGCUGCCUCUCUCCUCCUGUCUGUCUCCACCUGUCAUGACCAACCACCUACUGUCAGCGUACCUGCCUGCCUCUCUGUUGUACAUAUUGUCUGUUCUAUUUGAUGACUAAUCUGCCUCACAUCUGCCUUCUGCCUCUCCUCCUGUAAAUGGGCCCACGCUUAUCUUUUUCUGGACCUACAGCAACUGUCUGUAUUCUUUCGAUUCACGACUGCUUAUUAACAUUAACCGUUGUGCUUUUACCUCUGAAUUGGACAAAACGAGAGAUGCUGUGUCAGACACCGUCAUUGAACUCAAGAGGAAAUCUUAUUAAAUAUCUCAUUCUUGUUAGUUCACGGCAGUCUGUGAUCAUUAAUAUUAACACCCCCCCCCCAUUGAGACAUGAGGAAGAAGAGCUCUCCUUGCUCCCCAGUUUCUGAUGUCAUGCUGUGAUACAGCUUCAGAGUGAACCGCAGUCGCUUGAAAAUAUGACACGUUAUCAACGAUGGUUAAAAAAUAUAAUAUUGUGAAUUUUGAAACUUGAGUUGUAUUUGCCUUUUAAUUUAUUUGCAGUUUGGGACUGUAAUGACUUCUUUUACAUGCAGUCUAAUAAACUUUUUAUAGACUAA